rnacentral:rRNA from 1 species
UGGGGGAUAUUGCACAAUGGGCGAAAGCCUGAUGCAGCGACGCCGCGUGGGGGAUGAAGGCCUUCGGGUUGUAAACUGCUUUUGCUCUGAACAAGGCAUGCUAAUGGGUGUGUUGAGUGUAGGGGUUGAUUAGCGCCGGCUAACUACGUGCCAGCAGCCGCGGUAAUACGUAGGGCGCGAGCGUUGUCCGGAAUUAUUGGGCGUAAAGGGCUUGUAGGUGGCUGGUUGCGUCUGUCGUGAAAGCUCAUGGCUUAACUGUGGGUUUGCGGGGGGUACGGGCUGGCUUGAGUGCAGUAGGGGAGGCUGGAAUUCCUGGUGUAGCGGUGGAAUGCGCAGAUAUCAGGAGGAAUACCGGUGGCGAAGGCGGGUCUCUGGGCUGUUACUGACACUGAGGAGCGAAAGCAUGGGGAGCGAACAGG